UUUUCAUUGAACUAGUACUAGUAAAUAAAAAAAUUACUAAAAAAAAACUUUAAAUCUUCGUCGGCAUUGCAAAACAAAGAGGCAAUUUCAUGAUGUACAAAGCUUUUGUGAUUGGAUUGCAUUUUUCAACCUUAUUCGUGCUCUCCGUUCCAUCAGAGUUUUGCGUUUACAAGCUGAAAAAUGGAAAAUUAGUUCCUUCGAAAGGAUGCACGGAACCGGAUCAUGG